GAAACUGCUUAGAGGUUAAGCCCGAUGAACCUGAAUAUCCGUUAUGGAAAAUUCAUCAUUAAUACUAUGGUAUUUAUAAUAUUAUAGAAAUAGUGUGCAAUUUUUCCAUAUAAGGACAUUGUAAUCUGUUAAUGUAAUAAAUAUUUAUUAAAAGAUCCUUUGCUUAAGUUUAUUCAAAUUAGUUAUUUUCGGAUUUCUAACAUAAAAUAAAUGUAUUGGAUUUGAUAAAUCAUUGACAGAUUUAAUUAUAUAUUGCGCUUAAAUUUUUCGGAAUUUUACAAUGACAAAUAGAUCUAUUGAUCUAGAUGUUUAUAUUGUUUGCGCUUUUAUGAUUAACAAUGCGAUAGAUUCAGGAUACCUUCGGGACCCGUCUUGAAACACGGACCAAGGAGUCUAACAUAUGUGCAAGUCAUUGGGUAUUUUUAAUAAAACCCAAUGGCAUAAUUAACUUAACUGUUUAAAUGGGAUUAGUUUAUGUUUUAUUAUGAAACAUUAAUUCAAUCCCGGGGCGUUCUAUACAGUUAUGUAUAAUAAUAUUUAUAUUAUUUAUGCCUCUAACUAGAGCGUACCUUGAGC
rnacentral:rRNA from 1 species